rnacentral:rRNA from 1 species
GACGAACGCUGGCGGCGUGCUUAACACAUGCAAGUCGAACGAAGUGGCGAACGGGUGAGUAACGCGUAAUCAACCUGCCCUUCAGAGGGGGAAAACAGUUGGAAACGACUGCUAAUACCGCAUACUGAAGGAGGGGAUUGUGUCUGAUUAGCUAGUCGGCGGGGUAACGGCCCACAACGGCGAUGAUCAGUAGCCGGUCUUAGCGGAUGAACGGCCACAUUGGGACUGAGACACGGCCCAGACUCCUACGGGAGGCAGCGGUGGGGAAUCUUCCGCAAUGGACGAAAGUCUGACGGAGCAACGCCGCGUGAGUGAAGAAGGUUUGCGGAUCGUAAAACUCUGUGGUUAGAGAAGCGGUAUCUAACCAGAAAGCCACGGCUAACUACGUGCCAGCAGCCGCGGUAAUUC